ACAAAAAUUUCAGUUUACUAGAACAGAUUCCCAAAUUGUAAACGCAAAUGGCAAAAAGCAAACAACUAUUUUCCCUUCGUACAAAUACCAUAUUUUAACAUGUAAUUUGCAAAACUAAAUCAAUUUCAACGUAUAGACAGAGAUACCUUUGAGGGGAGCCAAGCCAUCUUUUGCAUAGAGUUUGCACAUGGCAUAGCGACAAGCAAAAGCCGUUGCAUUUUCGGUACUGAAAAUAAUUUUGGGAAGGUUAAACUCUUUGGCUGCAGCUUCAGCAAAGUACAUGAACUCGUCGUAGAUGACACAUGCGAUCUCUUCUUGUUGUUGCGCCAAAAAUUGACCCAAACACUUCUUGAAGCUAACCUCACACUCUUUGUUGAGUUUAAUGAGAAACCAAACUGGCCCUAGAUCCUUCAGAUCCGAGGCUGGUAAGCUCUCUGGGAUGGUGAUGAACUGAAAAUCAGCUAAGUCUUUUGAAGGCUUCAAGUAAUUGAACUUGGUCUGAGCAACUGUAAUGGAGAAACCCUUUAAGUGAAGGGCUCUCGCGAGUUGCAUCAUUGGAGAUAUGUGUCCUUGUGCUGGAGCUGGAAUCAACACUAUCCUUCUCCUCCUCUCUUGCUUUUCCUCCAUUUCCAAAUUUCUCUUUCCUCUGUUUUUUUUUUUUUUUUUCCGGUUGCUUUCUUUCCAGCUACAAGAAAAUGACACAAAUAUAAUAUAACUUAUUUCCUUAUUUUCUUUUUAAAAGAAAGAAAAAAUCAAGAAAUAUGAAAUGUUUUUUAAGAAAAGAAUGAUAGAGUAAUUGCAUUAUCUAACAAUAGAAAAUUGGAAAAUUAAGUGACUAACAAAAAUUCAUUAAAAACAAAACGUAGUUUUCCCUUAUUCAGGACAAAAAAAUACUAUUAUCAAACGUAUAUUUCCCUUACCAAACCAAGUAUCUGUAAAUUGUUACAAUGAAAUGUAAGACAUGCAAAUGGUAGUUUAUCGAUAUAUUCUACUAAAUAUCGUCCAAUAUACAAUAGGCCAAAAAGUUUAGUAAAAUUAUUAAAAUAGGCCAAAUCUUUUUAGAUUAAAUAAUUCUUGUUCUGCAUGAAAUGUCAAAAAAAAAAUUCUUGUGGAUCUACGAAAAAUAUACAUAUUUGUUUGUUUAAUUAUAGGAAUAAUCUGCGUCAUCCAUCUUAUGCUAUGGAUAGUUUUGUCCAAGUUCUCCAAAUAUGGGAGUAUGUGAUUGUUUCGAUGAUUACCAAGAAAGUUAACGCUCAUGACGAAAAUGCAAUAGAUGGUUCAUCUAUAAUGUUUCAAGACAUCUACAUGAUCUCUAUUAUCACCAUUAGUAGCAAAUAACUCACCAGCGAUCAGAACUUUAUGAUUCUAACCACUCGUAGCAAAAAUAACUCACUGGCAAGCGAAACUUUAAUUACUAUUCUGUUCACCUUUAGUUUUCAUUGAAACAGAAAGUCGUACCGAGUUAUAUUUGAAAAUUUCAAUAAACUCUUUUGGUGAGGUUGGUUAAGGAACUUUGCCUAUAUAAUAAUAGAUCCAUCAAUUCAACACCAGUUUUAGUAGUUUGAGGAAUUAGAUCAUGGACAAUAGGUGAAUUGGCCUAAUUCUUCUGAGGCUUUAAGAACAAUUAAAGACAGGAAACUAGUAGAAAUCAAGGUGACUACGAUAGGUAAAAGAAGACUCUUGGGUCAUAUCUGAAAUACGUGCAAAAUUCGUGCAAAACUACAGACAGAAUAGAUAACAGAUCAUCUGUGCAAAGUUCGUGCAGAAAUACAGACAGGAUUGAUAACAGAUAAUCCGUGCAAAAUUCGUGCAGAAACAAAUAUGAACAGAAAACUUAUCUCGAUAGAGUUUAGAAUUUUGUUUGCAGAGACGGCUAGGGUUUUGGUUUUGGUUUUUGUGAGAGAGAUUUAGGGUUUCGGAAUUUUUAAUUUUUAGGGUGAAAGGCUAUCGUGCUGAUAACGUGUUGUGAACUGUGUCUUUCAUUAAUAGUAUAAUGGAUAUAUAUACAAGGAUAAUAGCAGGAUACAGAGAAUAAGGUAAAACCCUAAUGGGCCAUGGGCCGGUUAUGGAGUCCAUCCAUAUGGUUUAUAACAAAAAGUGUAAAACGUAUUAUAAAACGACUUAUAUUAUAAAACGUAUGGAGUAUUGAAGUAACCAGAGAAAAUGACAGUGUCUUGUGGGAGACAAAGAUUUCGGUAUUGAUGUUAAAAAACUUCCGCUCUCCAUUGUCAUCAACAAGACAACAAUGUCCAACCUAUUUUAUCAGGUAAUCAUAUGCUUUAUCCGUUUCAGUUUAAGUGUCAUUUUAAAAAUUAUGAUUUGUUUUAUAAUAAGUGAUGCUUUCGAUAUUCAAAACAGAUUUAUGAUACGUUGAUAACCCAGUUUUAUCUUCACUAUUGUAAGGUAUUGACCAAUUUAUUGUUUUUUUUUUUUUUUUUCAAAGUGUAUUACUAAGAGAUAAAACAGAAAUGGGUGAUUUGCAAAAGUAGCCAAUUUUGAACCAGUUAUUAAAUUUAUAACACCAAAAUCUUGGAUAUUACGUGAGUAGCACAUGUGGUGUCUGACAAGACAAUAAAGUCCUUUCAGUCUCACGAAGAAAAUGAAGGCGUGAAGAGAGAGAGAAAAGAGGUGCGUGAAGAGAGAGAGAGAGGGAAGAAGAGAGGGGGAGAGAGAGAAAGAAGAGAGGGGGAGAGAGAAAGAAGAGAGGGACGUGGAGAGAGAGAGAGAAGGAGAGAAGAACAGAGGGAGAGAGAUAAGAGAGAGACGUGGAGAGAGAGAAGGGAGAGAGAGAUUGAGAGGGACUAAAUCUGUCUUUAUUACAUAAAUUAUAAAGAAUAUCACCUUCUUUUUUUUUUAGUGCUACUUUCUUAAUUUAUAAAUUUUUGUUGGUUAUAGAGUCAAAUUAUCCAACAGAAAUUGAUCGUGGAAGCUCCCUUGGCCCAUUGGUUGACCAAGGGUUGAUUAAUGCUUCUACACCAAAAGGUCUGGGGUUCGAGUCCCAGGUAUUGCGAUUUAUUAACAAAUUUGCAGAUUAAUGGAGACAAGUGUGCAAAAGAUCUCCAGCGAUGUACAAUUAUAGCCGUUCGCCAGGAUUCUACGCAGAGAAGGAAGUGUCGCCAGGUCGUGGAUCAUUGAAGGUAUUCAUUAAGAUUACGAAGAAGGAAGUGUAGUCUGUCGUGAAUCUAGUAAGGGUCAGAAGGAAUUGUCAGUUGUAGAAUCUAGUAAGGGUGGAUAAUUGAUUUUUUCUAAAUUUAAAAAAAAAAAGUUUAACCACACUUAAAUUAAAACGGAGAGAAUACUUAUCUCAGAAAAAACAAAUCUAGUUCAAUUCGUUAAUUUGCAUUCUUGGUUUUUGUCUUAGGUCAUGGUUGGUCUUUUGCUAAUGAGUUGUCUAGUUUAAAUUAUUUUUAGUUUUGUAAGAAAAUAUGUCCGAACUAAAAUCAAACGUAAUAUUAACCUCUUAUGACUACUUCCUAUAUCUCUCUAUUUAUAUUCAAAUAAAUAUAAUCAGAUAAAUCAAUCGAGACUACGCUGAUGACACCUAGUUAAUAUAUUUGUAAAAUUUUGAAUAAAAAUUAUGUAUAUAUAUAUAUAUAGAUAUAUAUAUAUCUAUUUAUAUAGACAUGGUUAACAUUUAACGUUAAACGAUUCUGUGAUAUUUUAAAUGAGGUAUUUUCUUCCAACCAAAAAGUUGGGGUAUUAAAAUUCCAAAAUAAAUAGAUUGGAUAUUUUUGGCUAUUUUCCGGUUAUAAUUUAACGUCAUUUACCGAUACCAUAACUUCCGUUAACGACAGUUAAAUAAGAGGUUUGAAUCUACCAAUAUUUAAAGAUAAAGUAUUUUUCAACCGAAAAUAAUUAAAUGAAGCAUUUUUCUUCCAACAUACAAAAAAGUAAAGUAUUAAACGUGCAAAUAAAAAAUAAAUGGGGUAUUUUUCGGGUUGUUUCCCCAUAUACAAUCAAAGAUCAUGAGAUCCCUAAAGAAAAUAGGAGAUAGAAUCUUAUAUGGAUAGUCUAAGCUACUAGGGACAAAAAUUCUGGAACAAUGCCUCUAAUACCACUUUCUCUCAAAAAUUAAUAGUAUAUGCCACUCUCAUAUUAUUAUUUUAUUUUACAUGUUCUUUUAAAUAAAAAUCUAUUACAAAAGUAAAAAAAACCCUUACUCUAAACUAAAUUUGAGAAGAAUUAUAAAUAAUGGAUAAAUAAUUAAACUAUUGUCCAUCUAUGCUUCUCAUCGAUCAUUGAUCUUGUCUUUGUCUCUAUCAACAUAGCUUAUGCUGAGAUUCAUAAAUGAGAGAUACAACAACAAUCCCGAUCUAGAUCUCUCAAAAAUUGGUUUCUUCUUCUGCAGUACUAAAGACACUUUCGUCAUUUGUAAUGCACAAUUGUCGGGUGAGAGAAGACGGUCCACAAACUUCGACGAAAGGGUUGACGGCGGAGAAUCGGCGACGACGAUAGUGAACAAAGCAAGAAGAGACGAAAUAGUGUGAUGACGCUAGGGUUUAUAAUUACAAGUUUCUUCAGUACUAUCAUUUGUACCAGUUGUUCCUAUGUACUAUAUAUUAUCUCUCAAUAAUAUAAUUUGUACAAGUUGUACCUAUUUAUAUCUUAUUAUUAUCUCUGAGUUAUAUCAUUUGUAUUGUUUGUCGUAUAAUAUCUCAUUUGUACCAAUUGUAUUAUUAUCUCUUAGUUGUAGCAUUUCGUCUGUAAUUUUAUUAAUUUAGAGAUAUCAAAUUUACAGUGACACUUAAAUUAUAAAAUGGCAAACCAGAUUAAAUUUUUCCCACAAAGUAGCAUAAGUUGCUCGUCUUCAAAGAAUCUUCAAUGGUAACGUGAAAUUCAUUCAUUCCUUCUAGAUUUUUAUAUAUUUGUUCUUGACGUUUGACAGUACUAUUAGUCAAAAAAACAAUGAUUUAAGUUUUCAGACAAGAUCAGCUCAAAUGGAUAUAUAGGACAGUAUUUUGUGAAUAUACGUCUAAACCAUGUUCCUAAGAGCUAAAGAAUGGCAAACUGCUCAAAUCGAGAAAUCCCCCUCCCUUCCACUGCCGAUCCGAACCAAAACUUCAUCUCUUUCGACCCACCAUAUCGUUUGCAACACUGGUGCGACAUGGAAAGAAGAUUUCACGCCAUGAUAUGGGUGGGUUUUCAGCAAAUCAGCUGUGACUCCGAUCCUCCAUGGUUCACAGGCUUGUUGUGAGAGAUUUUCAUCCCAGUAGAAUCCUCCAACAUAAUCCCUUGGACUACAUCAGGACAAUAAUCAAAUAAAUGAAACCCUAAAUAUAACGAAAACGCAUAGUUUGCUAACAUAUCCGUUAGACGGUUAGUCUUCCUAUAUACGCGAUUAACCAGAUAAAAACAAGAAAUUUAGAAUAUUCUCCACUAUUUUACCCCGUUCUAUUAUAUUAGUUUCCUGACAUAUUUUUUUCUAUGAUUCUGUUUAACCCUAAUCUUUCAUUCAUUUAUAUUAGAUACAAGUAUUAAGAUAUCAUAUGCAUAUAACUAAGGGGAAAAAUGUCGUUUAAUUGCUGAACUUUAAAAAAAUGGCCGUUUAAUACGUGAACUUCUCAUGUGGCCAGUUCAAACACGAACUUAACGUUGACCGGCCAUUUUAACUAAAUUUCUUCGUUGACUACGCCAAAACGCCACACCGUUAGCAGUCACUAACUGAGCCGAUAACGGCUGUUAGCACCCGUAAACAGGUCUCCGUUAGUCCCGAAAACGUCGUCGUUUUACUCUUAAACCAAACCCCAAAUCGAAAUCGAUUUUAUCCCCUUUCAUAAACCUCAGAUCCCUAAAUUUCAAUUCUUUGAGCUUUCAAUCUCUCACUUCAUCGUUCCCAAUUUCAAUUUCUUUGAGCUUUCAAUCUCAAUCUUCAUCGAAUUCUCGAGAGUGAGCUCAAGAAAUGAGUUGCAGUUCUGGGAAUUCUUGUGUUAAAGACGGUGGAUGUGGCUUCCGUGGGUUUCCUUCGAAAUGCCAUUGCGGGUUAGACGUCGUCAUCUAUACAUCGGCGACAAAGCAGAACCCUGGAAGACCUUUCUUCCGUUGUCCAACCAAACAAGAUGUAAGUAGAUUUGAUUUUAUAUCUUCUUGUGUUUCGAAAAUUGUUCAUAAUUUGUUUGUAAAUGCACAUGAUCAUUUGUUUAAAUGGGUCGAAGAUGGUGUAUACGAGGAGGUUGUUGAUGCUCUUCCAAAAUUCUCCAUCAUUGACAGCCAAAUAGAGAAUGCCAAAUCGGAAGUUGCUGUCGAGAUUGAAGAGUUAAAGGUCAUGAUCAAAGAAUUGAAGGAAGAAGGAAUGUGGAGCAAAAGGGAAAUAAAGAAAUGGAAAACGAUGAUCAAAGUGUGUUUAGUGAGCCUUUGUGUUGCUGUCAUUGUCUUUGUUAUCCUACUGUUUGGUGUUGGAGACAAAAGACAUAAGUUAGUUCUUGGUUACUAGGUGUGCAUUAGUGUCUUAUUUGGUUUGGGUCUUUGUCUUUGGUCUUGGUUCAUGUUUCUCUCGUUUGUGCCUUCUCUUGUUUUAGUUUUGUGUUGUGUCUUGUUUGUGUCGUGUCUUGUAUGAGUUUGUAUCUUUUGCAAUGAAAUGGUAUUUCUGAAAAUGAGAAGUUAAGAGAGAACCAUUGAUAGAACCAUUCAUACAUUACAACAAUGAUGUCAUAGACACAAAAAGAAAGCCGAGUGGAAGAUCAUGUCAUAAAGACAAGUUCAAACAACAAAAAAGAAAGCCGAGUGGAAGAUCAUGUCAUAAAGACAAGUUCAAACAACAAAAAGAAAGCCGAGACUAAGCUUAUGUCAGCCAACAAAAAUAUACCCUGACUAAGCUUAAGUUCAUACAAGAAAAAAAAAACUGAGACUAAGCUUAAGUGGAACACUCAAACCAUGAUGCCAAUCCACCAAGUCCUUGUGCUUGUGCUUGGGGUUGUGCUGCUACUUGUGCUUGUGCAGAUCCAUGUCUUCUAUCAGGUUGUUCUCUUUGUGAUGCUCCACUUGAUGCCAUAGAUCCUUGUGCUCCAUGACCUGUUACCCUUUGUCCUUCUGAUCCAAGAUGAACCUUUGAUCCGUGUACUUGCUGAUCUUGUGAUCCUUGUAGAGGUUGUGAUCCUUGAUAAGAUUGUGAUCCUUGAUAAGAUUGUGAUCCAAGCAAAUGUGGUUCCUAAGUCAAAUGUAUGAGAUUAGAAGACAUGAUUUAAGUGAGCUGUCAAACACAAAAAAAGCAUAAGAGUCACUAACCUGAUUUUUCCUGGGAUGACCUCUUGGUCUCUUUGGUUGAUUAUUCAAGACAGUUGCAUUUUUGCAACCCUGCUUGUUGUGUCCUUCUUGCAGGCAGUUAGAGCAUGUCAUGAUUCUCUUUUUCCGGGACAUCUUGUUCUUACUUUUAGAAGAGACAGAGGCAGUUUCAUUUCUUCCUUUCCUCCUAGCAUAGUUACUUGGCCUCCCUGAGUUGCCUUUUCUCCAUGGUGGUGGCAAGACAGCUAGCCUAUUUGUUCUAGGCCACAAUGGCAUUCCCUGGACAGGCCUUAUACCCUUCCUAUAAGUUUCUCGCCAUCUUACCUUAGUGUAAUAAUCACUUACAUAGUCUUCAACUUUUUCUUUUCUACCUAUUAUCACACAAGCCGCAUGAACACAAGGGAUCCCAACCAUCUCCCAUUUCCUGCAACCACAAGUUUUCAACUCCAUAUCAACAAAGUAGCCAACACCAUUCACAUAUAUCUCAUGCAAAUUUUCGCUGGCCAUAUAUCUCUCGCAAUUACCAACCCCAGCUAUUAUCUUCUCAAUCUCUUCAUGAGCUCUCUUUGUGAACCUUGUCUUCAACUUGUCAGCAAUAAGAAACCUCUUUGCAGUUCUGACCAUACAUUGCCUCCUGAUGUCCUCUAGCAAAUCCAGAAUUGGCUUCCUCCUGGCCUGUCUAAUAGUCCUAUUGAAAGACUCACUUAGAUUAUUUAGGUUGUCAUUGCAACAGGUACCUAUUCUGAAGAAUGCUCUGGACCAUGUCACAGGACUAGUACGUUGCAGAGAUUCAUAAGCCUGGCGAUUGUACAACUUAAGCUCCUCCUGGUGAUUAUUGAACUCCUCUACAGUGUAGCUGCGUGUUAUCUUCCAAAAUAGACGAUGAAGCUCUAUAUCAUGGCUGUCUCUCUUCCAAUUAUCCAUGAUGUAUUUUGAACAUUGACGAUGCUCAGCUUGUGGAAGUAUGGAGUGGAUAACUUUGACAAGACCCUGCAAUAAGACAUAGCUUACAAACCUUAAAUAAAAGAACAUAAAGAAAUCACAGAACAUAAUACAAACUUGGAUAAAAACUCACCGAUUGUUUAUCUGAAAUGACUGCUAGAUUUUGCAUUUGACACAGCCCCAAACUUCCAGCUAGUUUUCUCAAAAAGAAGUCCCAGUUAUCAUCGUUUUCUAUCUCCACAAUUGCCCAAGCAAUAGGAACUAUCCUAUUAUCACCAUCUCUGCCAACUGCAGCUAGAAGGUGACCUUUUAUAUCCCAUUUUAGAAAUGCUCCAUCUAUUCCUAUCACAGGUAUACAAGUCAUUUUCCAUGAUUCUUUUUGAGCUUGAAAACAAAUGUAAAGACGAUAAAACCUUUGCUUCUGACCAAUGGCUGCCCCUGCAAUAGUAUCUAUCUCAAACUCUGUCCCUGGAUUCUGCUUUAACACCUCUGCUUGAUAAUCCCAAAUUCUUGCAAAAUGAGCAUCAUGGCUUGCAUGUCUAGCUUUCAGCACUUUAGUCUUGGCCUUAGCACACUGGUCUAGAGUCACUUCCAACUUGUAUUCCCUCAUAAUCUCAGCAGCCAUCUCAAACUUGGUAAGCUUUGGAUUCACUCUCAGCAUUUCCUCAAACAACAAAGCAAUGGAGGACCUCUUCAACAUCUUCGAAUAUCCUGACCUUACACAUACAUGCUCAUUGAUAUAUCUUUUUAUUUGCAUCUUAUGCUUCCUCUUCUCAUAUGCACAAUAAACUCUCCAUGGACAUGCAACACCUUCAUCAUCUACAUAACAACACUUCGCAGCAAGAACCAUAGCUUCAGACCUAAAGAGCUUAAUGUCAUACCUUGUCUUUAAAGAGUACAUCAAAAGUGCAAGCUUGAAGUCUUCAGGAGAGUUGUAAGUUUUCUCUAAUUCUAGCAAAACCUCUGGAUCAUCAGCACCUCUACCAGCUUCCUCUUCUCUAACUCUGUCUUCAUCUUCGUCAUCAGAUGACAAAGGAUCUGGAAUCUUGUCUUUGUCCCAUAUAUCAUCUCCACUAUCCGAGUCACUACCAGCUUCAUCUCCUCUAACAGCCUCUGGGAAAUCUUUUGCAAUGUUGAAGUUAACAUCUUCUUCAACAGCUGCUGCAUCAUCAUCGCUAUCUCCACCACUUGUUGCAUCAACACCACCAUUAUCAUCAUUACUUUCACCACCUGCUACAUCGCAGUCUCCGACAACCAUAUCUGAUUCGUUUGGAGCUUCAACUCCAGCAUUAUCAUCAUUACCUUCACUAACAUCACCGCCUACUGCGUCAUCAACAGCAUCGCAGUCUUCAUCACCAUACACCGCACAAUCAUCUUCAAUGUCAGGGACGGGACUGGUUCCUUUUCAGGAUCUUCAUCGUCCUCUAAGACCCUGAGUUUUCUUCGUUUUCAACGCCUGCCUCGACCACGAGCUUUGUUUCCACCACCUGUCUCUGAAAUGUCUUCCGCCGGUGGAGCUUUAACUCCGUCUCCGACAACCAUCUCCGAUUCACCUCGAGCUUCAACUCCAGCACCCACAACACACUCUGCUUCGCCUCGUAUAGGAGAUCCAACACGCACUAUGACGCCAUUCUUCCUAACUAAUACCAUUAGGGAAGACAAUUUGAAGAUUUCGGAUUUCUGGGAUUAGGGUUCUUAAUUUGGGGAUUUUGAGAAAUUAGGGAUUUCAAAAUCGAUUUUGGGGAUUUAGGAACUUUGCUUCUGGCUAAAACGACAUCGUUUUCGGGACUAACGGAGACCUGUUAACGGGUGCGAACAGCCGUUAUCGGCUCAGUUAGUGACUGUUAACGGUGUGUCGUUUUGGCGUAGUCAACGAAGACAUUUAGUUAAAAUGGUCGGUCAACGUUAAGUUCGUGUUUAAACUGGCCACAUGAGAAGUUCACGUAUUAAACGGCUAUUUUUUUAAAGUUCAGCAAUUAAACGACAUUUUUCCCUAUAACUAAGUGUCUUACCUUGUUUUCUCUUUAGCAAAAAAAAAAAAAAAAAAACUUAUUCUGUCUUAACAACUUAAUUGGUGGCAGAUAUGUCAUAAAAUGCUUAUUUUUUUUUUUUGUAAAAAAAAUCUCUAAUGACCGAGUUACUACGUAUGUCCCAUAUCUCAACCACUCCAACGGUCUAAAUAAAAGAAACAUUAGUGUCUCUCCAAAUUCAUAUCCACAUACAUUUCUGACUGGUGUUUUAAAAGAUAUUUUGUGGUAAGUCCUAGCAUCAUUAUUAUUGUAUGGUAGUUUUCUUUCAAUUCAUUUAUUGUUCCAGUGACUGAUUGUGAAUAAUACAGAUUUUGUGAACAGUUCGGAACUACUGAACUCCGAUCCCACGAACAUGGAAAAAUAUCUUUUGAGAAAUUCGAAAUCGGGUCCGGUAAAACUAUGACCACACCUAACAACACCUCUCUAAUCGAUUGAAGAUAAAUUUGUUUUAUUAUCGAUAUUAUGGUUUUACUAACUGUUAUAUAUGCUGUGAAAAUAUUCUAGGGGAAAAUGCUUCAAAACAUUUCCUAUUACUUAUGUUUUAAUUUUUUUAUAUGUUAAAGUAAAUUAUUUAUAUUUUUUCAAAUUUAUUUUGUUAUAGUGAAAAUUCAUUAGUUGAUGGGGACAAAUAAACUUUUUUCAUUUUCGACAAGAUACAAAAAUAUUCAUUAUUUAUAUGCGUUCACGUUAGGUGUAGGUUUGUAUUUAUUUGAUUCAUGUUUGGAUGUUAUCAAUCCGGUUUUGGUUGAUGAUGUGAAUGGGACUGCGUUCCUACGACAUGUUUUGAUGUAAAUUUUUUAUUCUUUUUUAAAAAACCCCUCUUCCGACCAAAAAAAACAAAGGAUACAAAAACAAAUAUGGAAAAACACACACAUUAAAUAUGGACAAAUUUAAAUUUGAAACAUUAUAAAUGAUUCCAGACCAAUCCAAAUCUAACCAUUCUUCAUCUUGCCAAAAAAACACACAAGAUUUCCAUAUAUCAGAUGUCUUCCUCUAGGUCUCACUAAUUAGGGAUUCUCUAAUGGGUGUUCUUAGCAUGAAGGGUGGAGAUGGAGAGCACAGUUAUGCAAAUAAUUCCGAGGGGCAGGUAAGCAAUUCUCUAUCAUUUUUAAGAAAAUUUGAACAACAAUUUUGAUAUACAUGCUUUUUUGGUUGCUUAUUUCCUUUGUUGGUUUAAGGUUUUUAAUAGUAGUAUAUAACUAAACUUAAGUUUUUUAAUUCUUAGAAAAGUGUUGCUUCUAAUGCAAAACCGGUGGUGGUAGAAAACGUAAAAGAAAUGAUAGUGAAAAUGGAUUUUCCUAGUUGCAUCAAAGUGGCCGAUUUGGGAUGUUCAUCGGGGGAAAACACAUUAGUGGUCAUGUCCGAAAUUGUCAACACGAUCAUAGCAACAUAUCAACAAAAGAGUAAAAACCCACCAGAGAUCGUUUGUUGUCUGAACGAUCUUCCAGACAACGACUUCAACACUACUUUCAAAUUAAUCCCUGCCUUCCAUAAGAAGCUGAAGAUGAAUGUUAAAGAAAAGUGCUUCAUCUCAGGAGUCCCAGGCUCAUUCUACUCAAGACUCUUCCCUAGCAAGUCUCUUCAUUUUUUUCAUUCAUCUCUUUGUCUCCACUGGCUUUCUAAGGUUCCUGAUGGGAUUGUGGAAAACAAGAAGAACAUUUAUCUUAGAAGUCCUUGUCCUCCAAGUGUGUACAAGAGUUAUCUAAAUCAGUUCAAGGACGAUUUCUCUUUGUUUCUAAGAAUGCGUGCAGAAGAGACAAUGCCUAAUGGGCGUAUGGCUCUCACUUUGGUGGGUAGAAAAGCAGUUGACCCUUUAUCCAAAGAUUGCUUCCAAAAUUGGUCUGUUAUAUCUGAUUCCCUCGUCGAUUUAGUCUCUGAGGUACUCACUAUAAUAAGCUCAUCUUUGUUUCCUAUUUUAUACUUGUUUGAUGUAGACCUAACUAAUCAUAGUUAUAAUACGUUUUUAUUCAUUAAAUUUGUUAUAAUAAGGUUUGGGAGGAAUGUUUUGAGUGCAGGGGGUUGUGAAGGAAUCAGAAAUGGAAUCUUUCAACUUGCCAUUCUACAAUCCUGAUGAAAGCGAAGUUAGGAAAGUUAUCGAAAACGAGGGCUCUUUCGAGAUCAACAAUUUUAAGACAAUAUUUGGACUUCUCUUUUCAUACAAAACUGGCCUUACUGAAGUGAAGGAUGAUGAUCUCGAUCGAUUUGAAGUCAUUAAAAAGAGGACCAACAUCAUAAGAUCCAUCACUGAACCAAUGCUUGCUGCUCAUUUUGGAGACACCGUCAUGGAUCGUUUGUUCGACAAGUAUACAUAUAAUCUAGCCCAACGUUACGAUACUUUGCGCAACAUACCAACGGUUCAAUUCUUUGUUUCGUUGACUAGGAAGUAACCGACCGUUGAUGAGACAGUAAGUGAAAGAAAUCGAACCUACGAUAUCAAGACUAAAUUUUCUUUUUUAAUUUGGUAUUUUGCAAAUAAUCAUCGUGGAGCUUUGUUCCUUGUUUAUCAAUUUGUUUCCAAGUUUGUAGGGACAAUUGUUCCAUUUUCUCUAUUUAAAAAUAAAACAAAAAGGCAGAUUGCAUUUGCCUAAAAAUUCUUAUCUGAUUUUUCUUUACUCUUAUCAUUUAAUAUAAGAGCAUGUUUUGGUUUUGAUCUGAACACCACAACUUAUGGUAUCAAAUUGCCAGAUUGCCGUUCAAAUUAAACAUUUUUUUGCCAUUGGGAAAAGAAUAAAGCAUAAAUGAAAUUUGAAAGAUAAUUAAGAAAACAUUAUGAAGUCAAAUUAGCACCAUGACCACGAAACUUGGAGGAUAGGUCCAAGUUUCAGCGAACCUUGAUAUUAAAGGGAACUUAUAAAUCGUAUGGAUUAGAUGACGAGAAGGUAGUGAAAUCUGCCUCCUAUUGCGCUCCUUCCAAACAUGAUACAUUGUUGUUUGGAAGGAAAUAAAAGGUAAUGGUAUAAAAAUUGUGAGUGGUGAGGUGGAAGAGAAUAAUGAAUCAUUCACAACUAAUCAACACGAGUCUCGAAUAAGUUGCUUAUACCAUCUACCCAUAUUGUGUAUGUGUAAGCACAUGCAAUAUAUAGGUGAACUCGAGACUCAUCAGAUUCAACACAAAACAAACAAAGUUCAUAAUAGGGAAAAUGGUAACUAGUUUCAUGAAGUAUAGAUCACGGCAUAGUCACACAUGCAGACUAAUUUAAUGUCUUAAACUACACGAACAAUUGCUAAUUUACGGUGAUAUCACCAAUUAUAACAUAAAACAUGUGCGCAACACCAUAACCAUUCAUUCUAGUAAUGUUCCUAUCUAAUAAACGACGUUUUUCGGUUUGACCGAUUCAAAAAAUAUUUAAGAUGAUUUAUUUGAGAUAAAAUUCAAAAUUAAUAAAAUUGCAAAAUAUUUAACUAAAAAUAAGUAAAAAAAAAAAAGAGAAAAGAAAAAAAUUGUUCUCCCAGUCCUGUUGGAAUCUUCAUCUUCCUUCGAGAUCUUCAUCCUCAUGUUUCUCCAAUAGCUCUACUACUUCUGUCGAUGGCCAGAACUCUCAGCCACCAAAACGAUCUCGUUUCACCUAUUUCAGUCCGAUUCAAUUUCUCCAUUUUAUGUUUGUUUUUCCUUUCAUUUUUAAAAUAAAGAGUUAUAGCUAAAUAUUCAUAAAUGUUUGUUCAGAAACCUAUAAAAACUCCAAAUACUAUAACUAAAAAAAAAUUAAACACCAAUAUUGCAUAAAACCUUAUCUAAAAACAUAAUAAAAAUGGGCAAUAUCUGUUCUCAGAUACUUGAUACUAAUUAUAGAAAAAAAUAAUCAAAAAACUUAAUGUAUGAUUUUGAUGUUUAAUUAAAAUGAUUGACCAUACAUUAUAUAGCUAAGUGAUGUUUCUUGAUUCUUUUAGCAACAAAAGUCUCUAGCCAAACUUCAGUCUUGAUUAAAAAAUCGUUUCAAACCUCUCGGGACUGCUCAAGACCACCCAAAAGUUUUGUAUUUUGAAAGUUCAUUCCCGCAAAAGUUUAUAUAUAUAUAUAUAUAUUAAUGUUAAUUCUCAAAAAAAAAAAAAAAAAUUUCCAUCAAUAUUAUAUCAUCAACAAAACAAAGUGCGAAUGUAAGUAAAUAUUGUUGCGGGUAGAGUAAUUUUUCAGAAGCAGAUGGUUGCGGUUCUAAACGUUAUUAAGCAUUUUGAACGACUGGUUUAACGGUUGUGUUUGCGAGAGUUUUAUGACUAGUUGACCAACAAAUGCGACAAUAGUUAAGCAAAAAAUUACCAAAAUAAAUAUAAAAUAAAUAUAAAAAAAGAUAUAUAUGAAAACAAAAAAAAAUUAUAUUAUUAUGAUAAGAUAUUUAAAAUUGAAUAUGAUUAACAAUGAAAACCAUUAAAUAGUACUAAAUAAUUAUUUAAAUAUAAAUAAAUUUUGAAAAACCUAAAAAAUGAUUCACAUUCAAAGAUAAGUGUUUAAACACUAACAAGAAUAUAUGUAGGGCUUCAUUUAUUUGUUCUUCACGUGAUUUUUUAAGCCACCUACCGCUUGCAACCGCCAUCACUUGUUGCGGAAAAGAGAUUUUCAAAUGUAACGAUUUAAAACGGUUAAGAGUGGUAUAAAAAGGAAUCAACCACAAGUGUCCGCAAACGCUAAGUUUGAUGGUUGUUGCGAGAGAACCAAUAAAGCCCUUAAUUAGGGUGUGUCGGUUCAUUUUUUCCUUAUAGAGACAUAAAGCAGUUUUAUGGAAAAAUGGUCCAUUUCCUAAUGAGAAAUAUCACAUCAUAACAGAUAGAGCCCAAAAUUUAACCCCGGUCCUAAUAUCCUUGAAAUGGAAGUUCUACUCCUAUUUCCCCCGAAUUGAAAGUUCAAUACCUAAAUGUCCCCGAGUCUGGGUUUCGUCGGUUUGGUGCAUAUAUAUGAGACCAAACUAUAUAUUGGUCGUAACUUAACCAGUAGAAACCCGAUUCCUUAUUAAAACUCGACCCAAUAUGUGUUUAAACCCCAAAAUUCUAAAUCUCCAAAUUUCGAAAUACCCAACUCAAGAAUCCUAAAUUCCCAUAUUUCGAUUUGAAACCUAGAAUUCGAGUUGCAAGAGGAGCAAUAUAUCAAUGAGUUCGACGGGAUCUACGGUCCUUGUGGAAGAGGCAGAGUCGUUGCGGUACAAAAGAGAUGUUGGUGCAGGGAAGAUAUUGUGGCACUAAUUCUGAAAUCCGAUCCCAAUCCUUGUCGGAGAUACUAUCGUUAUGGUUUUGCUGCAAAACAUAAGGUAAUUUCAUGCCUCUGUUUCAACUAUUUUGAAUUGCAUCUUUUUUUAUAUCGAUCAAUGACUGUUAAUUUAUAGCUUAGGAACGAUGAACACACGUUCAAAUGGGUUGAUGAAGCCUUGUUCAAUGAGAUAGAGACAUUGAAAGAAAAGAAUGGUGAACUUGAGCAAGAGCUGAAAGAGCAUAAAACAAAGAGUUUGGAGUUUGAGAAGAUGGUUUGUGAGAAGGUCCAACUGAAGAUAGAGAAGGAGAUAUUUGAAAGGUGAAAGAUGCUUUGUCUAAAGCCAAAAAAAGCACUAAGAAGAUGAUGAUUGUCGUAGUGAUAGGGUGUAUGAUCAUGAUUGGAUUCAAUAAACUAAUCGGAUGAACCAUUGAUCACAUCACUGUUUUUGUUGUGUUUGUUGAAUGUCUUGGUUUUGGUUCUAGUUUUAGAUUUAUGAUUAAGAUAAUGGUUUUUUCAUUUUAGAUUUAUGAUCAAGACAUUAUGUACUAUUGAAUGGUGUUUGUUUUGGAUUAAGAGAAUGGUGUUUUCUUCGGAUUCGUUUCAACAAAAAUUUUGGUCAUGAUGUGUAUUUAAGAUUGGUCAUAAUAGCAUUUUCCAUUCACCAGACCAAACCUAGAUAACAAAACAUUCAUAUAUAUUUCUCAUUUUAUAUUCUAAAAAUCACAUAUUUGCACUUAAAAAAAUCUCUAAAAAUUGUGAAAUCACGCAUUAUCAUUUUCCGUGAAAAUCAUGAAAUACGGAAUUGCGUUUUUUUCCAUUAAAAAGUGCACAAUAUUUGAUUGAAAAUUUUGGAAUUGAGCUUUCCCACCAAAACUUUAAAAUCGUAGAAUUGUUGAACGAAUUUUUUCUGCCAAAUCAUGUUUUCCUGUCAACACUGCAAAAUCAUGUUUUCUCACCAAAACCACAAAAUUGAAUUUUCCGCUAAAAUUAUAUAUUUUCCAAAUCAUGUUUUUCCGUAAAACCAUAAAAAUUAGUUUUUAUAUGUUAAAAUAAUAUUUUAAAAUUAUUUAAUUGUAAAUAUAUAUUAGAGCAAUAAUUAAAUUAAUAUAGCUAAAAUAAAGAUUAAUAAUAUGAUUAUAUGAAUGUAUGGUUAUAUCAAAGUAUAAGUUUUUUUGACAUUUUCUUAUGAAACUUAUCUUAUGGAAAUAAAUAAAUAUUUAUAAAAAUUUUGCAAAUCAACAAAAAUUCAUUAAAAUGCUCUAUCCAAAUGAAUAUCCAAAAUGAAAACGAACAAUAUUUAGAUGAAUUGUCUGGAAGUAAAUGCAAGAUGAUGAAAUUGAACAAGCUCUAGUUUGUUCAUAUUUGUUUACCUUUUUUUUUUAAUAGACAUAAAUUAUUUUUAGUAAUAAAAGUCUGUAAGCAGUAGCCACAAAACCAUACAAAUUAAAUCCCACCAAAAAACAAAAAACCAUACAAAUUAAAUCACGUGAUAAAAAAAAGUAAAUAUUACAAUGGAUCAAGACCCAAGCCCAAUAUUGAUCGCAUUAAGAAAUACCCAAAUCGUGUAAAUGAUACGACACAAUUCUACGACAUAAUGAAAUUUUGUUGUGAACUGUGUCCUCUCAUUAAUAGAAUAAGGGAUAUAUAUACAAUGAUAAUAGCAGGAUACAUAGAAUAAGGUAAAACCCUAAUGGGCCAUGGGCCGGUUAUGGAGUCCAUCCAUAUGGUUUAUAACACUCCCCCUUGGAAGACAUAACCGUGCCCGAUACUAAACCGGGAUCUCUAUAAUGCGCUGGGGAAUGUUGCCUCAUUAAAACCUUACCACGAAAACCCAGUGGGACAAAACCAUGGUGAAGGAAAAAGAGUACAACACGCAUUACUCCCCCUGAUUUGAGCAUCACUGUAGAUCCUUAAGUCCGCGCAUCCCGAUCUGAUGAAUGAGCUUCCGGAACGUUGAAGUCGGCAAUGAUUUGGUGAAUAGGUCGGCUGAAUUCUCACUUGACCGGAUCUGUUGAACUUUGACCUGACCGUCCUUCUAUAAUUCAUGAGUGAAUAAGAGCUUUGGCAAAAUGUGCUUCGUCUGGUCUCUCUUAGUGUAGCCGUCCUUGAGUUGAGCAAUACAGGCUGCGUUGUCUUUAAAUAUGAUGGUCUUUGAUGUAGUAGUAGUAGUAGUAGUAGUAGUAUUAGUAGUAGUAGUAGUAGUAGUAGCUGCGCCUUAAGGAAGGCUGCCUACGUACCCUUGGAAGGGAUCAAGCCACACGUAGUUCCUAUUCAUUGACCAUGCCAUAAUCUGAUCUUAUGAAUAACCUGCAUCAGCAAAUCAAACUAAACCAAAGCAAACUGGAUCUUCUUUGGUUAGAUCAGUAUAGAAUAAACCCAAGUAAACAACGCAGGAAGAAUAAACUUUAAAAUUUAACCAAACCUUCCUUUAAACCUUUCCAGUGCCUUUGGGUUGAUCAUGAACUAAAUUUAGACAGGAGACUCACGGCAAAACAAAUGUUUGGUCUAGUGUGUCUAGCCAAAUUCAUUAGAACUCCUAUGGCACUGAGGUAUGGUAUUUCCGGACUGAAUGGAUCACUAUCCAAUUUGAGGCUUCUCACCACCAUUGGGCCUGGUCAAUGGGCGGGCCUGGUCCUUAUUAAAUUUCCUUGAGUACUCUUUCAGUGUAUGCUAUUUGAUGCACAAGGAUUCUAUUAUUCACGUACUCAGGUUGUAAUCCCAAACAGAACUUAAUUAUUGCCUAGGUCUUUCAUUUGAGAUUCUUUCUUUAGAUAUACUCAACUGUUUGGGCGAUUAUCCAGAGGUUUAAAUCAUUCAUAUACACUGCUAUGAUUACAAAUCCUUUGUUUGCAAACUUCUUGAUAAAAAUACAUGGACUGAUCGGAUCGUUUUUAUAGCCUUCUCUGAUGAGAUAUUCACUUAACCGGUUAUACCACAUAUGUCCGCUUUGUUUCAGUCCAUAUAAGGAUUUGUCCAGCCUUAUGCAGUGCUGUUCUCGAGAAUCUUUCUUAUCUUUGAGCUCAAUACCCUCUGGUAAUCUCAUAUAUUAUCCAGUGGACUUAUAUAAAUAUGCAGGCAUUACAUCCAUUAGCCGCAAAUCUUUCUCUUUUAUAUAGCCAGACUUAGCAAAGAUUUAAAUGUCUUAGCAUCCACCACAGGGGAGAAUAUCUCCUCUAUUUCUGGUCUUUGUGUGAAUCCUUGUGCGACAAGCCGUGUCUGAUAUAUUACGCUUUCACUAUGUUUAUUUCACACAAUCACAAAGACUCAUUUGUCCCACUGGCUUUACAUUGAAUGGUGUCCUUUGUAUUGGACCAAACACAUUCUUCUUCUUAAUGAUUCUUAGCUCCACGUUUUAUGGUCUUGUACCAUUUUAAUCAAUCAGGUCUUUGAGUGCACUCUAGUAUAGACGUGGGCUCCUGAUCCUCAUUCAUUUCAGUUGCUACGUUGUGCGCAAAUAUAUUAUCAUUUAUGUCGACAUUUUUUCGGUUCCAUUGUAUUCUAGACAUGAUAUAGUUUAUAGAGAUCUCUUUACACCUUCAGGACCUUGAGGUUUGGCGUCCCAAACCUCAUUGAUUGGUACCUUGGGGUUAUGUCUAUUAGCUGGCCAUGUCUAUGGUUUCUUGAACCUUCUCGGUUUCCCUUGCUCCUUUUUUUGAUUUCCGAGGGUUCUUGUCUUUGGAACCUUUUAGGUCUACCACGUUUCUUACGUGUUAUAGCAACUUGAUUGUUUUCCUUGUGAACAUCAAUACGUACUGGUGCAUUACAAGCUGGUAUGUACGAUUUUGUUACUCUCUUUGGGUCAUUAUAGGAAUCUUGGCAACUGUUUUAGCUAGCUUUUGCAGAUAUAUAGUCUUUUGGAUCUCUGAUGGAGUCUGAGGAUCUUGCCAUGUGAAGGAUGUUUGAUUCCAUGUAAGUUCUUUGACCAGCUUGUUAGUCUCUCCACCCAGUGUUGGGAAAACGGAUUCAUUGAGAUGACAAUCCUUGUAUGUGGCCUUUGGCUCGAGAUACUUAAUGAUGGUGGGAGAAUCAUUUUUAACGUAUAUUCCCAUCCCCUUUUGAGGUCCCAUCAUUUGCUCUCUGUGGUGGUGCUAUGGGUAAAUAGGUGACACACCGAAAUGUCUUUAGAUGGGAAACGUCUGGCUCAUGACCCGUUAGCAAUUGGGAUGGGGAAUAUCUAUGUUCACUAAAUGGCCGAAUGCGUAUUAAUUCAACAGCGUGUAAAACUGCAUGUCCCCAAGCUGAGACCGGAAGCUGCGACCUCAUGAGUAAUGGUCGAGCAAUUAGUUGAUUUCGUUUAAUGAGGGAUUCAGCUAAUCCGUUCUGUGUAUGGACAUGUGCCACAUGAUGUUCCACACUUACCCCCAUGGCCAUACAAUAGUCAUUAAAUGCUUGGGAAGUGAAUUCACCAGCAUUAUCUAAACGUAUGGUCUUAAGAGGAAAAUCUGGAAAAUGGGCUCGCAAUCUGAUCAUUUGGGCCAAUAACCUAACAAACGCUUGGUUCCUAGAAGACAAUAGGCAAACAUGCGACCAGCGGGUCGAUGCAUCGAUUAAAACCAUGAAGUACCGAAAUGUUCCACAAGGUGGAUGGAUCGGACCACAUAUGUCUCCUUGAAGUUGUUCUAGAAAAUGUAAGGUCUCUUUAGACACUUUGACUGGUGAAGGUCGAGUGAUAAGCUUCCCUUGUGAACAGGCUAUGCACGUGUGGUGCUUAGGGAAAACUCGGUUUUCUUUAAGGGUGUGCCCUUUAGAACUUUGAAUUAAUUUACGCAUCAUAUUCGAACCGAGCUGGCCAAGCCGGUCAUGCCAUUAGUGAAUUUCUCAGUAAACCCUUAUUUGUUUACUUUAUUAGCCUUUAUCAUAUUGACCUUGGCAUAGUAUGGAUCUAUGACGCGGGUAUAGUCUCUAAGACCUUCUCAUGGUCUUGGGUGCUCUUAGUAAUAUAUGGGAAUCCUUUGUUCCCUUCACCCUUAGUUUCAAUGUGAAACCAUUCAAACACUUUUCUUUGAAACUCAACAAGGCCCCUUUGAGCUGGGUGAAUAUGAAGCAUCUGAGGAUGCGUGCCCUUGGGAAUAUGGGCCUGCCAUGGGCCUGCCCUUAGCCUUCACUAAAUUUAGCUAUAACCGCAAUUUGGCUAAUCAACCAUGUCUUUGGAUAUUUCGUUGGCAUUCCGAAGUCUCAUAGUCAUCUAUCUCAUGGUCAAAAUCUUCUUCACCAUUGUGAUGAAAUGAGCUUCUAGAUUCUUUUCAAACUCUCUUUAUAGAGAUCAAUGAGAUGCUUAGGAGUCAUGCACGUCUUAGUCCAAUGGUUUCCCCAUUCCUCAUCAAUGGCAAACAAGUUUAUUUGAGUGUUGUGGUUUGGGUAUACCACGGCCUCUAACUCGAUUACGACCAAAGUCGGGUCGGCGGCCUUAACCAUAUGAAUGGUUUCCUUGAUCAUAUAAAUUAUAAUUGCCAUGAUACUUAUCUCUUUGGACGUGGUUAGACUCUUUAGUCUCUUUAGGCUCUUCAGCCUUAACCAUAUGAAUGGUUUCCUUGAUCAUAUAAAUUAUAAUUGCCAUGAUACUUAUCUCUUUGGACGUGGUUAGACUCUUUAGUCUCUUUAGGCUCUUCAGCCCAAUGGGCUUCUGAUAAUGGGGUAGGACCAGGAGGUCUCAUUUCAUUAUUCAUAACUCAUUGUUUUGCUCGGCAAGUAGCAAAACAAGAGUUUAGACUUGCAUAUGUGGUAAAAACCUUUUUUUUUUUUUUUUUUCACGAUAUUGUUGCUGAGGCAAUAUAUUGUUUGUGUGAAAGGUCGAGAAUGCUUUCUUUAGCAAGUCAUUCUCAGUAAUUUCCUCACCACGGAAUCUCAGUAUUGACACUAUUUUAAAUAGUGCUGAGUUAUACUCAUUCAUGGAUUUGAAUUCUUGGAAUAUGAGAUUCUUUCGAUCGAAUCGGGCUUUUGGGUAAUAGCACCGUUUUUUUUUUUUUCAACUCUGUCCUGAGGUCCAGAGGAUUCUUAAUAGUGAGGUACUGAUUUUGAGACUCUCAUUGAGGUGAUGGCGAAUGUUAGUAAUCGCCUUUUAUCUUUCUCUUCUGGUGACAUUGUUUCCUUCCACAAUAGAUUCACCAAGCCCCUUUUUCCUUUAGAAUAAUCUCAGUGUCCAAAGCCCAUUGUAAAUAAUUGUCACGAGAGGCAUUGAGUGCCGUGUAUUCAUAAUAGUUGAUUUCUGACAUCUAUAACAUAUAGAGUUAAAUGAGAACUCAUGUAAUCGGUUAGACCAAGUCAUGCGGUAUUUAAGACCGAGCCAUGCUUGUCUUCAGCAAGUGUUUUCUACACAAUCAUGUUAUAUAUAUAUGGAUGAAAUCAACCCUAGAAGAUUGAUCUAGUAUGCAACAAAAAAACAACCAAACAAUCGGAUCAUACUAGAUUAGGAUAUUAUGAUUUCGCGGUUAAGUUUUAGGGUUUUAGCAUCCGCGAUUUAUAGUACUAGGGUUUUUUCUAGGGUAUCGGUUUUAUGUAUGGAACUUUCUAUUUAUGGAAUCUUUCCUUAUAUGGAACUUUCCAUUUAUGGAAACUUUCUAUUUCUCAUAUAGAAAGAAAUCCUAAACAAACGUGUACUUUAGGGUUUUGGAAUAUUUCCUUAUGAAGGGGUUUCCUAUUUUGGUAACUUUCCAUUUUGGGAAACUUGCUACUUUAGGGAACCUUUUAUUUUGGGAAACUUGCUAUUUUACGAAACUUUCUAUUUCUGGAAACUUUCCUUAUAUGGAAACUUUCUAUUUAUGGAGAUUUUAUAUUUAUGGAAACUUUCUAUUUCUGGAAACUUUCCUUAUAUGGGAAACUUGAUCUUAAACCGUGACUUAGGAUUUAUUAAACCGGUUUAACCUAGGAUUUAGGGUUUCGGUUUACUUUCGGUUUAACCUAGGGUUUAUAUUACAACAUUCAAUCUAUCAUGCUAUUAAACAUCUUUCCAUUCACUAACUUCUCAAUUAAUUCUCCAAUCAUAAAUCAAAUCACAUGUGCCAAUUUUCAUGCAAAUUUUAUCUUAUCAAACUUUAAUUGGAUUAUGUAUAUAAAGCAUAAUAAAUAGCACUUAUCUUAAUUGGAUAAGAAAGAGAGACCCGAGAUCUAAUACGGAGAUUGGAAACAGUUAAGUCUCUUAGCUGGUUGGGACCUCCUACAAAAUCUCAAUAUAUAUAAUCCUGAUUCCUGAGAAACUCAAAAUUUUGCUCAUGGAAACAUGGCUAUUACAUUAGUAAAAAGAAAAAAAAAUAGGGUUUCUGUAAUAUACUGCAUAAAACAGUUCAGAAUCAAUAACAUAUAAUCCGUGCAUAAAUCGUACAAAAUAUAGACAGGAUUGAUAAUAAAUAAUCCAUGCAAAAUUUGUGCAAAUCUACAUACAUAAUUGACAACAGAUAAUCUAUGCAAAAUUCGUGCAGAAAUACAGAUAAAAUUGAUAACAUAUAAUCCGUGCAAAAUUCGUGCAAAACUACAGACAGAAUUAACAACAGAUAAUCUGUGCAAAAUUCGUGCAGAAAUACAGACAAAAUUGAUAACAUAUAAUCCGUGCAAAAUUCGUGCAAAACUACAGACAGAAUAGAUAACAGAUCAUCUGUGCAAAGUUCGUGCAGAAAUACAGACAGGAUUGAUAACAGAUAAUCCGUGCAAAAUUCGUGCAGAAACAAAUAUGAACAGAAAACUUAUCUCGAUAGAGUUUAGAAUUUUGUUUGCAGAGACGGCUAGGGUUUUGGUUUUGGUUUUUGUGAGAGGGAUUUAGGGUUUCGGAAUUUUUAAUUUUUAGGGUGAAAGGCUAUCGUGCUGAUAACGUGUUGUGAACUGUGUCCUCUCAUUAAUAGAAUAAGAGAUAUAUAUACAAUGAUAAUAGCAGGAUACAUAGAAUAAGAUAAAACCCUAAUGGACCAUGGGCCGGUUAUGGAGUCCAUCCAUAUGGUUUAUAACAAAUUUCAUAUUAUUACCAAUUUGCCAAUUUGGGGAAAAAAAUAUGAGUGAUCAAUUUCCAGUCCCACCCAAAAGUUGGAUUCUACGUCCAACCACAUAGUUUAAAUAUCUUUAAAGAAUUACACAAAACUAUAAUUUUCAAUCCAAAAUUACACCUUACUUUAAAAUCGACCAUGGCCUUUUGGGGAAGGUUGGAGGAAAAAGACACAUUAUAAUCAAAUCAUUUAUUGAGGAAAAGUAAUGAUAAACAAAAUGAUAUAAGAUUUUUAAAUACAUAUUAUUAUUCUUGUAUAUAUAAUUUUUAUAAUUGAAUGUUUUCGUAUAAUAAGCUGAUUUCUUUAUAAGAACCUCUUGAGCUAGUUAAAAUAAGUUUUUAAGUAAAUAAAUAGUCUCUUCAUUUAUAUAAAAUUGAAAGCUCACCAAAAUUUUUUUAUAUAAAAUUGAAAUGCAUAAAAUAAAUAAAUAUAUUUUCAAUAGCUAUAAAAGUUUUUUGGUAUCAACUUAUAAGAGAAAAUAAUGAAGAACAAAGUAUUGUUUCUUUUAAAAAAGAAUAAAAAAAGAAAAGGAUUAUUAUCCAAAAUCCCAUUUGUUAGCUCAAAUGUUGUGGAUCUACCAUUUUCUAUAUGAGUUUCUGGAUUUACCACUUUUGGUUCAAAAAAAAUAUAAUUUUAUCCUUCACAUAUCCACAAAAUUAUGUACAUCCAUCCCUCACAUCCACCACCGCAAGCAUCGGGAUAAAGCAACUCACGUUCCUUUUCUAAAGCAUGUGCAUUGUCACGUUCCCUUUCUUCAGCAGGAGCUAAUGUGUCACAUUCAAACCCUGCCUAUAAACACCACCGGAAAACAUCAACCAAUGGGAGCAGGUUACAAGAACACAACGGCUAUCUAGAAUUGAAUAGUAUGAACAAGGAGUUAAGAAAACACUUUUCUUUAUUAACUUUAGAACUAACUCAAACUAAAGUUUUCCUUAAUCUCUCUCAAUUCUCACAAGCUAUAUCACAACCCGAUAUAUUCUUAUAUAGUAAAGUCUCAAACCCUAAUCAUAGCUCGACUAGGAUUACAUUGAAUCUUAUAGAUAACUCCUAAAAGAUCUAAUCUUAUCACUUCAUUAAACCGUUGCCUUGCGGUUCAAUUGUCGGUUUGCUUUUCAACCUUAAACCAACAAUCUCCCCCUUAAGCUUGAGCUCAAGCUUCUUCAUGUCUUGAACACCAAUGAGAUCUCUCAUCUCCUUAAACUUGUUUCUCCCCAAAGCCUUUGUCAGUAUGUCCACCUUCUGUUCUUCACCCGGGACAUGCUCAACUUCAAUUUGCCCAUUUUCAACGCACUCUCGUAUAAAAUGGUACUUCCAGUGAAUGUGUUUACUUCUUCCGUGAAACAUUGUGUUCUUGGUAAGUGUAAUUGCUGACUUAUUAUCAGCUCGUAUGGUUACUUUUUUACACAUUGUACCAAUGAUCUCGGCAAACAAUUCUUGGAGCCAAAUCGCUUGCUUAGCUGCCUCCGUUGCCGCCAUGAACUCAGCUUCACAAGAGGAUAGUGCCACAACUUGUUGUUUUUGAGAGAACCAUGUGAUCGGAGAUUCAUUAAGGUAAACACAUGACCUGCGGUACUCUUUCCAUCGUCGAUAUCCACACUAUGACUGCUAUCACUGUAACCAAUUAGUCCCAACUCUGUUCCUUGCUUAAAGCAGAGACCGUGUUCAAGAGUUCCUCGAAUGUAUCUCAGAACUUGUCUCAAAGCCGUCCCGUGUGACUCUCUUGGCUCUUGUAAGUAUCUGCUUAAAAUUCCAACACUAAAUGAGAGGUCAGGCCGUGUAUGUAGUAGAUACCUAAAGCACCCGAUGUUUCUUCUGUAAUCUUGUUCAUUGACCUGCUUCUCUCCUUAUGCUUUAGAAAGCUCUAAACCUGCUAUCAUUGGUGUUUGAACUGCAUUACAUUCACUCAACCCAGCUUCUUCCAGAAUUUUUCUUGCAUAUCUUUCUUGUUUCAACACGAUUUCACCUUCUCCUUGGAAGACCUCAAUACCAAGAUAGUAGGUAAGCUUCCCCAAAUCACUCAUUUCAAACUUUCCCGACAUCUCCCUUUUGAAAGUAUUUAUCAAAUCUAAGCUGGAUCCCGUGACUAACAAGUCAUCAACAUAUACUGCUACAAUAAGAAGAGUCUCCUUUUCUUGUUUUCAGUAAAGCGACGGCUCUUUGGAACAUUUUUCAAAAUUUAAAUCCCUCAAUAUUCAGUUGAGUUUAGUGUUCCAAGCCCGAGGUGCUUGCCACAAUCCAUAAAGAGCUUUGUGUAGUUUAUAAACCUUUUCCUCUCUUCCUUUGGUUACAAAACCCUCUGGUUGAGUAACAUAAACAUCUUCUUUCAGUUCUCCGUGAAGAAACGCGGUUUUUACGUCUAAGUGGUGUAUUUCCAAUCCGUUUGAGGCUGCUAAAGCAAUGAUAAGACGGAUUGAUUCAAUUCGAGCUACAGGGGCAAAAACUUCAUCGAAAUCUACUCCAUGUUUUUGCACGUAUCCUUUUGCCACUAAUCUUGCCUUGUGUUUAUUUAUGCUCCCGUCUGAGUUUCGUUUUAGCUUAAAAACCCAUUUAAGAACAAUGGGUUUACUUCCAACACGGAGAUCAACAAGACUCCACCUUUUGUUCUUUGUUAUAGACAUGAUCUCCUCUUCACAUGCAUUUUUCCAUUCUUGUGAUUUAUUUGCCUCUUUGAAAUCCCAUGGUUCUUCAUUUAUCAUAAGUAGGAGCUGUUCUCCUUCUAUUUCGGCAAGUAACACAUAAUCACUUAAAUAGGUUGGCUUUGUAACCUGUCUCCCUGAUCUUCUUAACAACGGUGGAGGUUGUGGCUGCUCUGUUUCAACAUUAUCAGUCUCGGAUUCAUCAGUACCUUCUUCAUCUUCUCUAUCGGAUCCAUUCUCAACAUCUCUGUUUUCCUCUGUCUCUUGAUUAACUCCAUUAUUAUCAAUUCCAUGAUUACCAAACUCUCCAAAAUUGAGAGUAAAGGUUCCUGUUUCUUGACUGGAUUUCUCGGAGUCUUUCCACUUCCAACUCUGGGUUCAUCGAAGACGACAUCUCUGCUUACUGUGAUUUUACGAGUGGUUGGAUCAAGAAGUCUGUACGCCUUUGAACCGGGCUCUGUCCCAAGGUGUACCAACACUCUUGAUCUAUCAUCAAGUUUUCUUAAAUGCGGUCCAUCAACUUUUGCAUAGCUAACACAUCCAAAUACUCUCACAUGCUCUAAGUUUGGCUUCUUUUUCUUGAAUGCUUCAUAUGGAGUUUGGUAAGCUAAGGCUCUAGUUCCCACUCUGUUUAUUAAAUAGGUUGAAUGUCUGACAGCUUCUCCCCACAGAUAAUUAGGUAAGUUCAUAUGUUUCAAAAUGCUCCUAGUCAUCUCAAGCAAAGUCCUAUUUCUUCUUUCAACCACUCCAUUCUGUUGAGGGCUGUAUGGUGUGGUUAAGUGCCUAUUGAUGCCUUCCCUUUCACAAAACUCUUGAAAAUCAUGAGACAAAAAUUCUCCUCCUCUGUCUGUUCUAAGUGUUUUGAUUUUUGCACCACUCUCUUGCUCAACUUUCUUCUUGAAGUUCUUGAAUUUCUCAAAUGCCUCUCCUUUCUCCUUUAACAAAAUGGACCACAUGUAGCGAGAAUGAUCAUCUAUCAACACAAAAACAUAUAUUUUCUUAGCAGCCGUAGAGGGUGAUAUAGGACCACAAAGGUCACCAUGCACCAACUCAAGAAUAUGUGAUGCCCGAUACAAAGUUGCUUUUGGAAACGUUUUCCUUGUUUGUUUUCCAAGUAAGCAAGAUGAGCAUGUUUCUUUUUCUUUGGGAGCAGCCGAUAUUCCUUUAACCAUCUCUUUUGCAACCAUUGUUUUAAGUGUCUCAAGAUUAAUAUGUCCAAGUCAGGCGUGCCAUUUGUUUGAGUCGCUUGAUGUUAUAAGCUGCAAGCAGUUUUUUUCUUCAACCUCUAAGAUUACCUUGUACAAGCGGUUUCUUGAUCGUGUAGCUCUCACUAACAAAUUUCCAUCUCGGUCAUGUAGAGUGAGGUAAUCUUCUUUCAGUCUAACGUCACAUCCUGACUCAGUGGCUUGUCCUAGACUUAUGAUAUUACUUUUGAGAUCUGGUAUAUAGUACACAUCUUCUAGGAUCUUUCUUUCACCAGUUUUUGUCAAGAAGAGAAUUGAGCCCUUUCCCUUUAUGUCAAUGCACGAAUCGUCUCCAAACCUUACUCUUCCCGUGACCAUCUCAUUCAUCUUGUAGAACCAAGCUCGCUGUCCCAUCAUGUGAUUGCUCGCCCCAUUGUCGAGAUACCAAGUUUUCUCAGAACAUGUUUCAAACACUUUUGGCAUCACGUUGUUCUCAUUCAAGUACACUACCUCGUGCAUCAUAAGGGAUUCUGCAUCUUGAGUAUCAUCUUCCUCUUUCUCUUGUGUUUCUUGAAGCUUGAUCAACUUUAAAAGUCUAUCCGGACAAUUAGAGGUAUAGUUCCUUGUUUUGUCACAUCGGUAACAAGUCACUUUGGACUUGUCUCUUUGAACAUACUCUCUUUGUUGAUAUCCAAAUCUUCCUCGGCCUCUUCCAAAACGACCGCGGCCUCUUCCUCUACCUCCAUCUUGUGACUCCGAGCUAACAUACAUGAGUUUGCCUUGGUCUUCCUGUGAAUCUUCUUCUUCAUCAUAUACUCUGUCUUCGUAUGUUUUAAGUCUUCCUACAAUAUCUUCAAAGGUUGUUGUUUUGAGAUCAAGGACUUGCUCUAGGGCUGCGAUUAUAUGGAUGUAUUUCUUCCUAGGUAAGCUCUUGAGAAACUUCUUAACAACCUUUGUCUCUUCAAUAUUUUCUCCUAAGGAUGCUGCUUUUGUAGAAAUUUCAGAGAUUCUCCCCGCAAAGUCGUCGAUGGUGUCACUUUCCUUCAUCUUCAACCUAUCAAACUCAUUCAUAAGCGUCUGUAACCUUGCUUCUUUCACUUGGUCAGCACCAAGGUUUCUAGCUUUGAUGGCAUCCCAGACACCUUUUGCGGUUUCGUGUUCUCCAACUUGUAAAAUCAUGGACUUUGGUAUAGAUUGGAACAAUAGAGCACGGGCCAUAUCGUUUUUAUCUAUAUCAGUAGAACCAGGAUCGAUUGUCUCCCACGCCUUAUGCACUCGGAGAGCAGCCUUCAUCCUCAUAGUCCAAACAGUAUAGUUAGAACUAUUUAGCAUUGGACAUUUUAUGGAUGAUGACCCUCCUUCCUUCGGCUUGUUCCCCGUCGUAGCCAAUUCACUCAUGUCUCGUAUGAUCUUCGUUCUUGCUUAAAUUCGAGAAACAAAGCUAAAAUUCUCUGAUACCAAAUCUAGAAUUGAAUAGUAUGAACAAGGAGUUAAGAAAACACUUUUCUUUAUUAACUUUAGAACUAACUCAAACUAAAGUUUUCCUUAAUCUCUCUCAAUUCUCACAAGAUAUAUCACAACCCGAUAUAUGCUUAUAUAGUAAAGUCUCAAACCCUAAUCAUAGCUCGACUAGGAUUACAUUGAAUCUUAUAGAUAACUCCUAAAAGAUCUAAUCUUAUCACUUCAUUAAACCGUUGCCUUGCGGUUCAAGUAAUUGUCGGUUUGCUUCUCAAGCUUAAACCAACAGGCUAUAACACAACAACAAACACAUAAACACGGACAAGAAGAAGGAAUACUACUAAACCCUAAUAACCGUUACCCGAAAACUCAAACCAAAGAUGAUUAAACACACACCAACUAUAACACACCAACCAACAUAUAAACAUGGCCUAAAAGAGGGAAUACUAAACCCUAAUCACCGCUAUUGAGGGGAACCCAAACCAAGAAUUAUAAUAACACUGAGUAAUGUAAGCCGUGGAAACAAAACAUAACAUCACAAAAUAUAUAGAAACAAACUAAAAAAGAAGAAGUGAAAAAGAGGGUUAGUGAAUGUAGUUCCCUACUCUUCUCCUUGGAAUUUUCAUCGAACAUGUUGUGUGUGCUUAUAAAAGAAGUCAUCUAACUCGGUUAUUUCCGGAAAAAAUGGGGCCAUUAUGCAAGAAGUCUUCUAACGAUCAAUCAAUUUCUAGAAACGAAUGUAAAAUAAGAGCUGUAUUCAUCGACCAAGACAGAAAAGUAAGAUUCAACGACAAAUGCCCAUAAGAACAUGGUCGAAGUCAAGCUAAUGCAAGCAUUUCAUUUCAAAACGAAAUCAAGUUUUUUUGUCCAUAAUAACAGAAAACGAAGAAAAAUUCUGUGAAUUUAGAAAAAAAGGAGGUUAAACUAACAAAGUAGGAGAAGCAGAAGCUCAUGAGAAGUGUGAAUCACAUUGUCGAAGUCACUCACAAGACAUGAGACCAUCUCCAAUGUAAAUCUCUAUGUUUUACGCUAAAAUAGAAUAACUCUAAAAUAGAGAAUGUUUUCUCUCCAAUGUAUCACUACUCUAUAUCCUAUUUUAAAAUAGAGUUACUGUAAAGAAAAUUAGAGCUGAUCUAAAUAUAGAGCAAUCCUCUCUUUAACUCUAUUUUAAAGUGGAAUAUAGAUUAGGGUUUGAGAGAAUCGUGGUCUAUAAUAGAGUUUAGAGAAGAAAAAAAAUAGAGUGGGGUUAGGCAUGCUCUGAAUCUGUGAAUUAGAGAUGAUUGUUCCGUAGCGUGUCCAUUUGAAUGGAUUAGAUCGAUUGAGAUGGGAUCGUGAAGAAUGAUGAUGGUGGUGAACAAAUUUUUUUAUUUAAAUAUUAAUUCCAUUUUUUUUACUUUGCAACAAAAAGAAGGUUAAAAUCGUCUUCUUGCAUGAGAGAUAAAUUACAAAUCAACAAAUUGUUAAAAAUGACAAAAUCAACAAAUGGCACCAUAGAAAAGUCUAUUUUUCGUAAUUGAUUAAAAAAUAAUACCCAUUAUAAUCACAUCGAAAAAUGAAAAAUAGUGAUAAUCAAAGCGACAUAAAAGUUUUAGCGUUACAUGAUGUAUUUGUCGGAAAUUUUUUAUUAGAAUAUGGGCUUCCAACUUACAACCAAUUGGCAAUGAGUUGAGUGGCCCAUAAAUCUUAUAUAUUAGUCAAGAUCUUUUGUCUUUUCCAAUGUGGAGUAUUAUUAUCUCUAAUACGCCAUCUUGAGAUGAUGGCUCUAGCCAUUGAUCUCGGUAUAUUCGGGCAUGGAUCGGCAGACUAACAAUUGGGUUGGAUCGAUGGUAGAUUGAAUUGGACAUGUAUGAAUUGGACUCUGAUACCAUAUUAGAAUAUGGGCUUUCAACUCAAAACCAAUUGGCAAGGAGUGGAGUGGUCCAUAUAUCUUUUUUAUUCACUAGUCAAUAUCAUUUGUCUUUUCCAAUUUGAGAUAUUAUUCCUUAAUACGUCCCCUCAAAAUGAUGGCUCUAGCCAUUAUUUUUGGUAUGCUCGAACAUGGAUCGGCGGAUCAAUUAUUAAGUUGGACUGAUGGUGGAUUAGAUUGGACAUGUAUGGAUCGGGUUCUGAUAUCAUAUUAAACUAUUGAUUUUCAAUUCAAAACUAAUUGGCUAUAAGUAGAAUAGUUUAUCUAUCUUCUAUAUAUAUAUUAGUCAAAAUCAUUUGUUAUUUCGAAUGUGAAAUAUUAUUAUCUUGAAUAUAUAUUUUUAAGAAGAAAAAGCGAAAUACAGUAUUGACUAAUAUUGUGGUGCCACUGUACUAUUAAUAUACUUAAAGUUUACGAAGAGUAUGGAAAUGGUCCAUUUCACGUGAUCAAUAAUUUUGUGGUGCCACUAUACUAUUAAUUAUUAAUGUACUUAAAAGUUUAAUUACCAAGAAUCUCAAUCAAAUCAAAUUUUCUAAAUAUCUAAAUUAUUAAAUAUGAAAUAUGCGAUGUAUGAGUUGGAUUAAAUAUAAUCCGAUCUAACAAAUUUUUAUGACCAAAAUUUGUAAACGGGUUGGGUAUCCAAAGUAUAUAUAUAAGAACAAUUUUACUCAUCCGACUCAAAAGUGACUACUAAAAUAAUAGUAUAGAUAUAUUUAAAGUUUAAUUAAGAAGAGUCUGGAUAUGGUCUAUUUCACGUGAUCAAUAAUUUUGUGGUACCACUAUACUAUUAAUUAAUGUACUUAAAGUUUCCGAAAAGUGUGGAAAUGGUCCAUUUCACGUGUCUUUCUGUCCCUUUCAAUAAUUCAAUAGAUCUUCUUUAUUUUUUGGUAAAAUAAUUGAAUGAAUAUUAUUGUUAUUUAUGUCUACAUUCAUUAUCCUUAUAAACACGUGUUGUCCUGUCCAUUACCGUUAUUUUAAGUUUCCCAUGGUCACACAAAUUGUCGUGAUUUUAAUAGAUUCAUUUUAAAUAGCUAAUGUGAGAAUCUAUUUUUUUUUUUUCGUUUUUGGGAAUCUAUUACUCCCUAAAUUCUAUAAGUAAUGUUUUAGGAGAAUGCACAUAGAUUAAAAAAUUAUUUAAUUUUUUGUUUAUUUUUAAUUAAUUUUGUAUUAAAAUUGAAAACAUCAUCUAUAUAAGAACAACAUUAGAAGCUUAAAACAUUACUUCUAAAAGAAUGGAGAGAGUAGAUUACCCAAAUUAGUUUGUAACCAAGAGAGUAAUAUCCUUCUUUUCACUUGUCGUUUAUGUUAUAUAAUCGGGAUAACAAUAAAUCUUUUCCCAAACAAGAUCCAAUCAUCCAACCGUAUAUUUCUCUUUUCUUUGAUAAACACACAAACAAAGACGAUUCACAAUAUGUAAUUGCAGUUUGAGUUCAUCUAAUUUUGAUUCAAAUAAUGAGAAUGAUUAUAUAUAUAUAUAUAUAUAUAUAUAUAUAUAUAUUAGCAGCUUAAGAAUAAACAAAAAUGAAAGGAAUAAUGAUAUAAAUUAUAGCAAAAUAAGAAUAAAGAAAAUUACAUGGUUAGCAAAAAAAAUAAUACUAAGGCACUCCAAUUCUAAUUCCAAUCAAGAUCUUGAUUGGUUCAGUUUCAAAGUUGUUUUUGAAAUUAAUUUAACAUUUCAUUCAAACAAAAAAAAAAGAAUAAAGAAAAUUGAAAGAAACAACAAUGAUAUAGUUGAGAUAUUUAAUGAGAUCAAACAACAAGCAAAGCAUUAUUACUCGAUGUGGCAGACAUAUUUUGAAAGUGACACUAAGUAUCGACAUUGUUCAACUAUACCAAUUGUAAAAAAUUAUAGUGUGAUUUGUACAGUUGUCCUAGCCACAAGCAUGUGAAGCAUCUGCUUGUGGCUAGAGAAUAUAUAGUUGUAACUCGGCUCCAAUUUACGAAAACUUUAUUAGUUUAGGUGGUAAUAGCUGAGAGAUUUAAUCCCAUUUAAUACCUAGCAUCACGGGUUCGACUGAUACUUCCUUCCUUUUAACUCGUUUGUUGUUUUUUUUUUCAAAAAAAAAUUUUUACAUGCCCAAAAAAAAUAUGUGGGCUUGUAGCCCCAAAAAUUAUAGCGCCGGCUCUGGAUUUGUAGAGAAUAUGAUUUCUAUAUUUCUCAAAAAACUUUACAAUGCAGAAUUUAUACAAGAGGAAGGGGAGAGACUCUAGGGUUAGGUAAUUAUAGAAACUUCCUAAAACAGAGCAAUAAUAUAUUAUUAACAUGAUUUGUUCUUCAGUAAACCAAAACCCAACUAUGGUGUUUCCAAGUUUUGAGAUUUAGAGUUUAUGUUCUCCCCAAUUCGAUUUUAGAAAAGCGGACUGAACAAUGCUACUUCUUUUUACAUUUGGUGAAAUCUUAGGUUUUUUUCUUGUUUUGAGUUAAUCUAACAGUUUCUAAAUUGCUACAUCAGCAACCGCUAAUGGAAUAUAAAUGUUGUCUUCAAUAAUUAACUGAAGUAACAACGAGUGUUCCUCAUGAACACUUUCAGGGUGUGAAUCAACCGGUGGAGAAAGAGAAACAUAAGUAUGGUUUUUUUUAUUUUAUUUUUUGGUAAACGAAAACUGUUAGAGUAAAUUUUUUAUAGUGAUAGUUCCCACUGCAAAGUGGCCUCAUAUUCAGAAAAAACUCUACUUCCGCCUUGGACUUACGAGUUAGUAUACACCGCUUGCCCCUAACCGUAUGGAGAUAUUUUAAUUUGGAGAGGCUCAAUACCACUGUGGUGACAGAGUGACUCGAACUCGAUAUUACUUUGAAAUGUCGUAGUUGGAAUUUUAAUUUGGAAAGGCUCAGUAACACUCAUCAGUGUUAUUUUGGACUAAUGGGAUACAAUCCCACGCAAACUUGCAAUUACUUCCAAAAGUCCAUCAAAGUUGAAACUUGACAAAUAUAUAUAUAACCCCAUCAAAUUUGACUAUCAAAUGGUAAAUCUGUGUCGUUAGUUGCUAAAGUGUUCCGUCAAUCUCAGCAUCAUAAGCCGGGACUAAAAUUAAAACUAAACCAAAACUCGAUCUAAGAUUUUUAACCCACAAGAAGGAAAUAUGACUCAAGAUACAACAAAAAAUUGUCAUCACCAAUUUACCACGUGACUCCUUUACAUUGAUAUUCAGUAGUCCAUGCCACAUGAGUUUGAGUAUCCAUAGUUGUUUUUGAGAGCUGCAAACAUAGUCUUCGCAUGAAUUACCAUUGAUUUCCAAAAUAUUCACAAAUACUAUUAAAAUGAUAAUUUUAUUUAGAUUUAAAACGUGUGUCAUACAUUGAUAAGUAAUGCAAUUGCACGCAACAUUGAAAAAUAAAUGAAUACAAAGAAGAAAGAAGAAGAAAAGAAAUACUCCCUUUGUUUUAAAAUAUAGGAUGUUUUAGAGAUUUUUUAUUGUUUCAAAAUAUAAGAUGUUUUACAAAUUUUUAUGCAACUUUUAAAUACAUUUGAUGUUUUAUGACCAUUUGUAUUCUCCAGUCUUUUAUAUUACUAGUUGAAAUUUUUUAAGUUAAAAAUUAAAUGAUAGUUUUGUUUUUUUUUUAAAAAAAAUAUGUACUUUUAACUUAAACAUACUAUAUUUUGAAACAGAAAGAGUAUUCAUUCUUAUAUAAAAUUUUUGACAGUCACUUCUCAAUCGAAAAUAUCAUAUAUGAAACAAAGAUUAUAGUUAUUGCAAAAUUAAUAACUUAGGACCUAUUUUUUUUUAUAGCAAAUAAAUUCAUCCAUUCAAGUUAUAAACGGGCGAUUUCUUUCAAGGGAAAACCCUUCUGGUGUAAAGGGGCUUACAUGAGUAAAGAACUAUAUGAUCGUGCCUUUUUCGCAAGGCAGUCAACAUGGGUGUUGUUAUAUUGUGAAAUAAAAGACAAAGUAAAAGAGGUAACAGAAAGUUCCAAAGCGCUAAAAUCUUCUACUUCUGACGUAAAGGCUGGCCACUCAUCGAGAAUGUCUAGUAACUGAGUUAACUCAUUGCAAUCUAACACAAAAGCAACAUCAAACAAAUAUAGUGAAAUAAGUGAUCUCAUUGCCCAAAGAAGAGACUCAAACUCAGCAUGAAGGGGGAUAAACAACGGCGAAAGAUCUUCAAACCAAGGUGAAAUAAGUGACGAUUCGAGACAACAUUCCAACCAAUACAACAAAGAGUGAAAGUAUAUACCAAAGAGCCAUAUCAACCUGGCAGACUAUAUAGUCUAUUGUAGAAGGGGUUGGAGCAGCAGGUUUACGUAACGAAAGGGGGUCUAGGAUUGUCUCGCGGGCUCUCACUAAACGAAAAGAUUCUGCUUCCAUCGCUGCAUGUUGUAACGUGUUUGUAGGGUGAGUAUCCAUGUUCUCAAAGACCUUAAUAUUACGGGUCGUCCAGAUAAACCACUUGGUCUAAGAAAAAAUCUGGAUCUUCUUUUCACUGACUUCUAAUUCCUUCACUCUCCGAAAUAGAUGAACUAGAUUCCCAAACAGAGAAGGAGAAUUGGAAAUACAUUCUGAACACACGUAAUUUAAGAUAAAGACCAUACCUGAAAAGCAUGAGGACACUCGAAUAAGACAUGGUUGAUAGUCUCCUCGUACAUCCCACACCUGGGACGCAGCCGAUCAGUAUCUAGAUGACGAUCAUCUAGUCGUUUGCACGUUGCUAGACAGCCCGUGGCAGAUUGUCAGAAGAAAUGUUUAAGUUUUUCUUGAGGUUAGAUUUUUCAUGAUUGUGCUUGAAGUGCUGUAACAUUAGGUCCUUGAAAAAGAGGUCACAAUCUCUUCGUCGGCUUGUUUGCGCAGCCAAAUAUUCCGACCGGACAAUAUAAUUUCCAGAUUUGGUGUGGGAAGAAAUAAAAGAAUUUUUCGAAAAUGAAAAACUCGGAUAUAACCCGAGGAUGUGGGGCAUGUCUUUUGGUGAGAUAAGAUCAUGGAGUUUGUCUAUCUUCCAAGCCUUCGACACAUGAUCCAAUGUUUUUUUUCAGCUUAGAUAAAAAGAGUGGUCUAGCCGCCGCUAGCAUGCUGCACCAACCAUAGGAAGGGAUAUUGGAUGGUUUGACAUAGUGAGGGCUAGAAUAUCUAAAAUAUCGACCCCUAAGCACGCGAACCAAGAGGAAGUUUGGGUACCAUUUUUCUUAAAAAUAAAUAUAGCACUCUUUUUAAUGAAAAUUUGAGAACUCAUCGUAAAUAUGUACUAGUUUAAACAAACGAAUGGUUCAUAUUUUAGAAACUCAUUUCUUUGUUGAAGUGUUUCUUUAGCAAAAGAAUUUUAAUAACCUUUUACAAACUUUUUUUUCGACAAAUUUUAUUAUGAAGUAUAUAUCUUGUCUUAUAACAAAUUCAACUAUUUUAUUUUUAUUAAUAUGAAUCUCUUGAAACAAUGCUCAAAGCUUUUCUUUUGUCCAGAACAUAUACAUUAUUCACCAUGAUUCUUACCCCAUUAAUUUGCAAAAGCAAAGCGUAGAUACGUAGAGUACUGAAAUGAGUAGAUACUAAAUUAAGUUCACAAUGUCUUGAUGAAGUCAUUUAGUGAAUUAUGUGAAGAACCUCCAGGCAAAACAGAGGCUCUCAGUUUCUCUUUCAAACUGAGGGCUCUUAUCUUCAUCUCUUCUCCUUCUUGAUCCACCAUUAACCGUCUCACAGCUCUCUCCACCAUUCCUCUCUCUAGCUCACCCUCCACGUGAACCCCAACUCUCCAGACACACUCCACGUACCUCGCAUUUACCUUUUGAUCAGUAGUAAAAGGCCUACAAAUCAUCGGAAUCCCUUCCCCCAUACUCUCUAGGGUCGAGUUCCAUCCACAAUGACUCCAAAACGCUCGAAUCGCAGGAUGUGCAAGCACUUGUUUCUGCGGAGCCCAUUUCACAAUGUAGCCUCGAUCCGGUAUUUCAAUAGUACUAAAUAAUUCCUCAUUAGAUAAUUCAGAACCAACUAUGGAGCCAGGUCGGAUCGCCCACAAGAAGUAUUGGUUACUACUAACCAACCCAAAAGCCAUUUCCAACACUUCUUUAGUUUCCAUCAAAGUAAAGCUUCCCAAGCUUAUGUAUAUCACUGAGCUUGGCUUUUGUUUGGUCAGCCAAUCUAUGCAACUCUGAUUCUCUUCUAGUAGACUCGUAGGAGGAGCUGAAGAAACCAUGUGAAGAGGUCCUACAGGAUAUAUUGGAAUUUUGAGUUCUUGUUGAAGCCUCUCCAAAGAUGAAAUCUCUAGACACCGAACUGUGUUGAUUAUCAUAGAGGAAGCUGUCCCUUUCUCACAUGAAUUUUUAAACACUUCCACUGAGGCUUCUACUGGUGCAAAUGCUGAAGUUGGUAGGUCUUUGUACCUUAAGGGAUGCAACUCUGGCACUAGCUCCUCCUCACUUCCACAUCCUUCUGCCAAAGCAAAAUUAUGGCGACAAUUGUUUCAAACGUUUAAAUUAAUUUAUGCGUUGGCCUUCCAUCAACAUGUUAAAAUUUCAAGUUUAGAAAUGAAACCAUUUUUUUCUCAAUAUUAAAUAAUAUAGUUAUAACUUAUAAAGCUAGUUCAUGUAUCCUGAUAAUAUUCCUAUCAUCAACAUAUACAACGAUAGUCACAAAGAAAGAAUUUCCUCUAAUGUUAUAUUUUUGGCAUUUGCAUUUAUAUUAACAAAAACAAAGUUUAAUAACAUUGGUAAGAAAAUUUCACACUUAAGAAGAAACCAAAACAAACACUUUUUAAAAAGAAUACACAGAUACCUUUGAGAGGAGCCAAGCCAUCUUUUGCAUAGAGUUUGCACAUGGCAGAGCGAGAAGCAAAAGCCGUUGCAUUUUCGGUACUGAAAAUAACUUUGGGAAGGUUAAACUCUUUGGCUGCAACUUCAGCAAAGUACAUGAACUCGUCGUAGAUGACACAUGCGAUCUCUUC
rnacentral:lncRNA from 1 species